CGUGAGUGAAGAAGGCCUUUGGGUUGUAAAGCUCUUUUGUAGGGGAAGAUAAUGACUGUACCCUAAUAAUAAGGUCCGGCUAACUUCGUGCCAGCAGCCGCGGUAAUACGAAGGGACCUAGCGUAGUUCGGAAUUACUGGGCGUAAAGCGCGCGUAGGCCGUUGAGUUAGUUAAUUGUGAAAUCCCAAAGCUUAACUUUGGAACUGCAAUUAAAACUGCUCGACUAGAGUUUGAUAGAGGAAAGCGGAAUACAUAGUGUAGAGGUGAAAUUCGUAGAUAUUAUGUAGAACACCAGUUGCGAAGGCGGCUUUCUGGGUCAACACUGACGCUGAGGCGCGAAAGUAUGGGUAGCAAAGAGGAUUAGAUACCCUCGUAGUCCAUACCAUAAACGAUGAUUGCUAGAUGUUGGAAAUUUAUUUUCAGUAUCGCAGCUAACGCAUUAAGCAAUCCGCCUGGGGAGUACGACCGCAAGGUUAAAACUCAAAUGAAUUGACGGGGACCCGCACAAGCGGUGGAGCAUGUGGUUUAAUUCGAAGAUACGCGCAGAACCUUACCAAGCCUUGACAUGUCUGUCGCGAGUUUAGGAAACUAGACUUUUCGGUUCGGCCGGACAGAACACAGGCGCUGCAUGGCUGUCGUCAGCUCGUGUCGUGAGAUGU
rnacentral:rRNA from 1 species